rnacentral:rRNA from 1 species
GGGACACGUGGUAUCCUGUCUGAAUAUGGGGGGACCAUCCUCCAAGGCUAAAUACUCCUGACUGACCGAUAGUGAACCAGUACCGUGAGGGAAAGGCGAAAAGAACCCCGGCGAGGGGAGUGAAAAAGAACCUGAAACCGUGUACGUACAAGCAGUGGGAGCCUCUUAAUGGGGUGACUGCGUACCUUUUGUAUAAUGGGUCAGCGACUUAUAUUCUGUAGCAAGGUUAACCGAAUAGGGGAGCCGAAGGGAAACCGAGUCUUAACUGGGCGUUAAGUUGCAGGGUAUAGACCCGAAACCCGGUGAUCUAGCCAUGGGCAGGUUGAAGGUUGGGUAACACUAACUGGAGGACCGAACCGACUAAUGUUGAAAAAUUAGCGGAUGACUUGUGGCUGGGGGUGAAAGGCCAAUCAAACCGGGAGAUAGCUGGUUCUCCCCGAAAGCUAUUUAGGUAGCGCCUCGUGAAUUCAUCUCCGGGGGUAGAGCACUGUUUCGGCAAGGGGGUCAUCCCGACUUACCAACCCGAUGCAAACUGCGAAUACCGGAGAAUGUUAUCACGGGAGACACACGGCGGGUGCUAACGUCCGUCGUGAAGAGGGAAACAACCCAGACCGCCAGCUAAGGUCCCAAAGUCAUGGUUAAGUGGGAAACGAUGUGGGAAGGCCCAGACAGCCAGGAUGUUGGCUUAGAAGCAGCCAUCAUUUAAAGAAAGCGUAAUAGCUCACUGGUCGAGUCGGCCUGCGCGGAAGAUGUAACGGGGCUAAACCAUGCACCGAAGCUGCGGCAGCGACGCUUAUGCGUUGUUGGGUAGGGGAGCG